UACGUAGGGGGCAAGCGUUGUCCGGAUUUAUUGGGCGUAAAGAGCGUGUAGGCGGCCAAGCAGGUCCGCUGUGAAAACUCGAGGCUCAACCUCGAGACGUCGGUGGAAACCGUUUGGCUAGAGUCCGGAAGAGGAGAGUGGAAUUCCCGGUGUAGCGGUGAAAUGCGCAGAUAUCGGGGAAGGAACACCCGUGGCGAAGGCGGCUCUCUGGGACGGUACUGACGCAUGAGACGGCGAAAGCGUGGGGAGCCGAACAGG
rnacentral:rRNA from 1 species